GGAUGUGAGGGCAAUCUGGCUGGCUAGGCAGGAGUCCUUUUCCUUCCUCACUGCUGUAUGUGUGUCUCUCCUGAAGUUGGAUUCUUGGUCAAAGAGGAUGAUCUUUGCUGAUAGAAGAGGAUUUUUCUUUGGUCAAGGGUAUAGGAGUAGCUGCACUCCCUUUUUAGGACCUCCAAACAAGCUCUCAAGAUCUACUUGUAGGAGAACAUGGGGUAAAAAAAGUUUUAAGUUGGUAAUUUUCAUGAAGUUCAAUCUAUGGUUUU
rnacentral:snRNA from 1 species